rnacentral:rRNA from 1 species
UACGUAGGGUGCGAGCGUUGUCCGGAAUUAUUGGGCGUAAAGAGCUCGUAGGCGGCCUGUCGCGUCGGUUGUGAAAGCCCGGGGCUUAACCCCGGGUCUGCAGUCGAUACGGGCAGGCUAGAGUUCGGUAGGGGAGAUCGGAAUUCCUGGUGUAGCGGUGAAAUGCGCAGAUAUCAGGAGGAACACCGAUGGCGAAGGCAGAUCUCUGGGCCGUAACUGACGCUGAGGAGCGAAAGCAUGGGGAGCGAACAGG